rnacentral:lncRNA from 1 species
UGCCCCUCUUAAUUAGACACCCCUGUGAGGACAGUGGGAACUACUAGGGAAUCAACCUCCUAGUCUUGCAGCUGUAAGCAGUCUGCCUGCCCUUCUUAGCUGACUGGCUUAAACACCAAGCACUUGGUGUAAAUUAUGUUACUGGGCCCCUUCAGGGCUGGCUAAAUGGAGACACUGGUGCUUGGCUGCAGCCUUGGAGUAAGGAGAUAAGAUGUACAAAUCUGGUGAGAGAAGUUGGUGUUUGAGUCAAGCUAUAGAGAUUGAAGAGCUGCAUGCAAAUAUGAUUUCUUUAUUUUUUUUCCAUUAUUAUAAAUGAAGAGAAGAAAAAGGAAUUAUCUAAAGAUGAAGUCCAAUACUGCUACAAUUAUUACCCCUUAAGACUGUGGCUUUACCCUCUCAACCUCAAGAAACACUGCCUUAACUGCCACCCCAUUUCUGCCUUCCUUCCUCUGAAGGAACUAUGAGCUUAUGCUGACAGGUACGUACUUGAAAAAUAUCCAUUUUU